AUUGACCGCUGGCGGCGGUCUUAACACCUGCAAGUCGAGCGAGCGGCGGCCGGGUGAGUACUGUCUGGGAAACUGCCUGAUGGCGGGGGAUAACUCCUGGAAACGGUAGCUAAUACCGCAUACCAUCAGAUGUGCCCAGCUGGGAUGAGCUAGUAGGUGGGGUAAUGGCUCACCUAGGCGACGAUCCCUAGCUGGUCUGAGAGGAUGACAAGACAAACUGGAACGGAGACACGGUCCAGAAUCCGACGGGAGGCAGCAGGGGGGAAUAUGGCACAAUGGGCGCAAGCCUGAUGCAGCCAUGCCGCGUGUGUGAAGAAGGCCUUCGGGUUGUAAAGCACUUUCAGCGAGGAGGCGUUACUCGCAGAAGAAGCACCGGCUAACUCCGUGCCAGCAGCCGCGGUAAUAC
rnacentral:rRNA from 1 species